rnacentral:rRNA from 1 species
AACGAACGCUGGCGGCAGGCCUAACACAUGCAAGUCGAGCGGACAUCUUCGGAUGUUAGCGGCGGACGGGUGAGUAACGCGUGGGAACGUGCCCUUUGCUUCGGAAUAGCCUCGGGAAACUGUGAGUAAUACCGGAUGUACCCUUUGGGGGAAAGAUUUAUCGGCAAAGGAUCGGCCCGCGUUGGAUUAGGUAGUUGGUGGGGUAAUGGCCUACCAAGCCGACGAUCCAUAGCUGGUUUGAGAGGAUGAUCAGCCACACUGGGACUGAGACACGGCCCAGACUCCUACGGGAGGCAGCAGUGGGGAAUCUUAGACAAUGGGGGAAACCCUGAUCUAGCCAUGCCGCGUGAGCGAUGAAGGCCUUAGGGUUGUAAAGCUCUUUCACCGGGGAAGAUAAUGACGGUACCCGGAGAAGAAGCCCCGGCUAACUCCGUG